UACGAAGGGGGCUAGCGUUGUUCGGAAUCACUGGGCGUAAAGCGUACGUAGGCGGACCAUUAAGUCGGGGGUGAAAUCCCAGGGCUCAACCCUGGAACUGCCUUCGAUACUGGUGGUCUGGAGUCCGGGAGAGGUGAGUGGAACUCCUAGUGUAGAGGUGAAAUUCGUAGAUAUUCGCAAGAACACCAAGUGGCGAAGGCGGCUCACUGGCCCGGUACUGACGCUGAGGUGCGAAAGCGUGGGAGCAAACAGG
rnacentral:rRNA from 1 species